AUGUACCACGCGUGCACUCCGGUUCUGAGCGCGCCGCCCGCACUCACCUGAUGAGCGCUCGCUACGUUUUGUUAGCG
rnacentral:sRNA from 1 species